AGCAGCCGCGGUAAUUCCAGCUCCAAUAGCGUAUAUUAAAGUUGUUGCAGUUAAAAAGCUCGUAGUUGAAUUUCGGAAUCAAUAUGUUGGUCGUGCCUUGGUACGUACUGGCGUCAUUGGUUUCUACCUUCUGAAGAACCUCGAUGUCAUUAAUUUGGUGUCUUGGGGAAUCAGGACUGUUACUUUGAAAAAAUUAGAGUGUUUAGAGCAGGCUCACGCUUGAAUACAUUAGCAUGGAAUAAUGAAAUAGGACGUUUGAUUCUAUUUUGUUGGUUUCUAGGAUCGACGUAAUGAUUAAUAGGGAUAGUUGGGGGCAUUAGUAUUCAAUUGUCAGAGGUGAAAUUCUUGGAUUUAUUGAAGACUAACUACUGCGAAAGCAUUUGCCAAGGAUGUUUUCAUUAAUCAAGAACGAAAGUUAGGGGAUCGAAGACGAUCAGAUACCGUCGUAGUCUUAACCAUAAACUAUGCCGACUAGGGAUCGGAUGGUGUUAAUUUUUAAUGACUCAUUCGGCGCCUUAAC
rnacentral:rRNA from 1 species